AUUGAACGCUGGCGGCAUGCCUUACACAUGCAAGUCGAACGGCAGCACGGGGGCAACCCUGGUGGCGAGUGGCGAACGGGUGAGUAACAUAUCGGAACAUACCCUAGAGUGGGGGAUAACGUAGCGAAAGUUACGCUAAUACCGCAUACGAUCUAAGGAUGAAAGUGGGGGAUCUUCGGACCUCAUGCUCAUGGAGUGGCCGAUAUCUGAUUAGCUAGUUGGUGAGGUAAAGGCUCACCAAGGCGACGAUCAGUAGCUGGUUUGAGAGAACGACCAGCCACACUGGAACUGAGACACGGUCCAGACUCCUACGGAGGCAGCAGUGGGGAAUUUUGGACAAUGGGGGCAACCCUGAUCCAGCAAUGCCGCGUGAGUGAAGAAGGCUCGG
rnacentral:rRNA from 1 species